GCCUCCGUAGUUUAGUUGGUUAUAACACCCCACUAGUAUUUCUCUCACUAAUGGGGAGGUCUGUCGUUCGAAUCGGCACGGAGGCA
rnacentral:tRNA from 1 species